rnacentral:rRNA from 1 species
GUACCUACCUCCACUAAGGUAAGAGUCUACCUUGGUACAGGUGAGUACUAAUAAUCCUAUAAAAGGGAGAUUUUUAGCCUUUUCUUCUCUUCUAAAAUUUGCGGGACAUAAUAGAGGGGGGUCGGCGGCGCUUUCGAAGGCGGCCGGCCGGCGGCGGCGUUGCGGUACAAGGUUGAGGCUCGCGCACAGGAGAGAAAGGAACAGGUGAGUGGUGGGGCAGAGGCGCGGAGGGCGCAGAGAGGGGAGAAACGGGAGGCGGCGUUCCGGGCGUUGGAGAGGCGGUGGUGUAGGCGGAGUGGUUCGGGGAAGCGGCGGCUCCUGAUGGAGCAGCGGUGGACGCCGCAGGGGGCGCGGGUUCGGCAGUUCCGUCGCUUCUUCUAGAGGGUGGAGUUCAGGAGGAGGUUCGGGCUACGCCAGCAGCGGAAGGAGAGGCCGGAGCCGCAGGGGGCGAGGCUGUAGCGGCGGUAGCAGCGGCAGCUGGGCACCAAGGAGACGCGGUCGCACCUCUCCUGGGACCGCGGGGCGCAGUGGCUCGACUCCCUCGAGCCGGAGAGCGCGAGGCUCCAGCGCGCGGAGCAGGGCGAGCGGGAGACGAGGAAGGCGUCGUCGAGGGAGUCCCCGUUGGAGCUGAAGACCGAGAGCCAGAAGCCGAGGAUGCUCUUCGAGGAGUUCCGGGAGUUCUACUUGAGGCCGGAGGAGCGGCGGCUGGAGCUCUUCCACCGGUUCGGCUUAGACCGGGAGGAGGCCGUUACGCCCGAUUCAGGGAGGCAGAAGAGCCUCGGGAAGUAAAGGGCCCACGAGCAGUCCUGGGGGUUCUUUCAAGUCCUGCGAAACCACGUGUAACUGUUCAAACCCCACAGCGUCUUGAGCGCCUACAAGGAGAUGCGCGAACACCGGAAGUGGCAGGUCUCGGGCCUCUUCGAGUGGCUGUUCUAGCCUCAGGAGCUCUGCGAACCAACCAGCGUCCCGCUACACGACGAUCGACACUUCUGCUACGGCCCGUAGGACUGGUAUAGGCUCCUCUCCGACGUCUUUUUACACGUAAAGGAGUGUUUCCAACGACCUGACCUCUAUAGAAUGUAACGAGUUUCCGGCCACGACGAGUUCAUAUCGGAACUCGCGGCGAACAAAGGGGCCAUGACGAACGAAUUCGAUGAGUUGUGCUUCCCUAACGACCUAGAGGCUAAACUAAUGUUACGGCGGAGCGACAGGCUCUUCUUCAAAGAACCGUCCAAGCACGUAGGAAUGUUCCUCUCAGAAGGUCCGGAACGACUACAAAUACGAAGAUCGACACGACCCUUUGAUGUCUACCUCAACGAUAGUCUCUUGUGUUUUCUUUUGAUCUCUUAGAUGGAACGGACAGGACCCACUCGUGGUACCCUAACGGUACAACCUACCUUUUUCAAUUCCAAACAGUAGGGGGAACCAAGUAACCACUUCAAGACACGUCAAAAAGACAUUCACUAGGAAACAUCACAAUAAUUGACUAAUUUUUCGUACCGAUGUCUAAUAGUAGAACGGUCUUUAUCUCGCACAUUACUUUAAAGACCCUUACUAGUACGAACUGAAGUAGACGUCAGCCAAAAUAACAAAGAACCCGAAAGUGACCCUUUAAUAACACAUAACUCUACGUUGAAAUGUAGACAUAUAGACUAAGAUUUACCCCUUGACGAUCCUUAGUCGAGUACGCACCCUGCCUUGUACAUACCUGCCACGUACUCAUAAGACAGCUAAAGAAAGAUAGUCUGCACACUAUCUUUCAAAAAAAGGGAAGAUUUACCAACGUAAACCUAAAACUAAAAGAGUCUCUGUACGUAUACUUGUAAAUCUUUUCAAUAGCUCCAUAACCGAAGUCGACAAGUUCUAAUUAAAAAUCCUUGACCGUUUUAAUACACGAAAGGUGUUUGGUUCAACUUUAGUAAAUCUCGGAUGUAGUGUGUCAUAUUGAUGUUUGUUAGUCUCUAAGAUUGUAAUAUGUUCUGCUACCUUACUAAAAACUUUUACCACUCCACGUUAGAACAAAACUUCUCUAUAAUUAAAACAGAACUACCCCGUUAUUAUCUUACUCUCUUGAACGAUAUAAACCUAUCACAAGUUCGGUUAUUCGGGUUGUAUUGGACCACACACUAUGGAAUGUACUUAAUACGUCAUCACUGUUGGCUCAAGAGCAAAGACCAUACAAAAAGAGGAAAGAACUUUGUUUGUUAACCGACAUUUCUAUGACUAUAAAAGUUGUAAACACCAACAAUAAAAACCGACUUUAUAGGAAAAACAUGAUAGUUCUACAAUAUAUAGUCGAGGAGUUUACCGUCUUCCAAACGUCUGGAGUACUAUUGUUUUGUCUACCCAGUCUCAAACAUUACCGCUAUACUGUUAUAUACGGUUUGAGCCUAUGAGGUGGUUUGACGGAUAUACAUAGACAACGUACCGCCAUACUGUUAUAUACGGUUAUACAUAUUAUAUGAUACCUCAUAGACGUUAAAACUAAAAGUUUUAUUUAUCUAUUUAGGAUUAUGAGGAUAAGAGGGACCCGGUUUUUGUCAAACUGUUUCAGGGUCAUCUUCGGGAUCGGUUUAGGUCUGAUUUUUGGUAUCGUUUGGGAUAGGUAGGUCUAGUUUGGACAAUUGGGGUUAAAAAGGAGUAUAUAUGAGCGGUAUACUGUUAUCAUUAGACCUUUACGACACUUAGAAAGUGUGAACAACGAAACUUUCUCGACUCUUGUCAUCGUUCGACGAAAAAUACUACUAUUAAAACCUCAUAAAACUGUCCUUUUAUACG